rnacentral:rRNA from 1 species
CAGCAGUGAGGAAUAUUGGUCAAUAGCCUAACGGCUGAACCAGCAACUUGGAGGAAUGUAUAGCGAAAGCUGGUUGGAUUAACUAUUAGUUAGUACAACAUCGACUAUGUCGAAUAAAGUUCUAGGUAGAGUUAUGAUAAUGACAUUUUCUAUCUAUGUGUCUUGACCAAAUCACGUGCCAGCAGUCGCGGUAAUACGUGGGAGACUAGUGUUAUUCAUCUUUAAUUGGUUUAAAGGGUACUUAGACGGUCCAUUAAGCCCCUAAAGGGUACUAGUAGACUAGAGUUUGAUGAGAGGGGGGGAGUACUAAAGAGUGUAGAGAUGAAAUUCUGUCAUACCUGUCUUGAAACAGGCAACAGCGAAAGCAACCCCUUAUGUAAAAACUGACGUUGAAGGACGAAGGA